rnacentral:rRNA from 1 species
AUGAAACACUCCUACGGGAGGCAGCAGUGGGGAAUAUUGGACAAUGGGGGCAACCCUGAUCCAGCAAUUCUGUGUGCACGAAGAAGGUUUUCGGAUUGUAAAGUGCUUUCAGCAGGGAAGAAGAGAAUGACGGUACCUGCAGAAGAAGCGACGGCUAAAUACGUGCCAGCAGCCGCGGUAAUACGUAUGUCGCAAGCGUUAUCCGGAAUUAUUGGGCAUAAAGGGCAUCUAGGCGGCCCUAUAAGUCUAGGGUGAAAACCUGCGGCUCAACCGCAGGCCUGCCCCGGAAACUAUAGGGCUGGAGUACUGGAGAGGUGGACGGAACUACACGAGUAGAGGUGAAAUUCGUAGAUAUGUGUAGGAAUGCCGAUGAUGAAGAUAGUUCACUGGACGGUAACUGACGCUGAAGUGCGAAAGCUGGGGGAGCAAACAGGAUUAGAAACCCUAGUAGUCCGAAGUUC